UCUUGAAACUCUCUAAGUGUUCAAAACUAUUGAAUUCAAGUAAAUAAACAAGUGUCUUUUACAUUUUUUUUAGACCAAGCCUUUGAAGUUAAGCGUCUUUUACAUUAUAAAGUGAUCAAACAAUUCUCCAUUUCUAUGAUGCAUAUGUGGUAAUAUAUGGCUAAAAUUCUCAAAUUCGUGUAUGCUACAAUUCUCAUUAUUUUUCUAUUUGUCAUAGCAACUGAAGUCAACGCAUUUCGUAAUCCCUGCAAAUCUGACUCUGAUUGUACAAAAUUGAAAUUGAAAUGUGAUCGUCAUACGAUUUUGACAUGCUUCUGGAGGCAUUGUUACUGCAUAUUCUAAUUAGCCAAGGAUGCUUCUUUUUUUAAAAAAAAAAAUAUUGUUAUGAUAUUUAUAAACUAGGCAUAUUGUGUUAUAUGUAUCAUGGGUUUUGUUUUGGCACCCUUUGUGUUAAUAUUCAUGAAGUUUGAUUUUAGCUAAUAAAAAAAUGUUAAAGUAUUGAAA